rnacentral:rRNA from 1 species
GACGAACGCUGGCGGCGUGCUUAACACAUGCAAGUCGAACGGAAAGGCCCUGCUUGCAGGGUACUCGAGUGGCGAACGGGUGAGUAACACGUGGGUAAUCUGCCCUGCACUUCGGGAUAAGCCUGGGAAACUGGGUCUAAUACCGGAUAGGAGCCAUUUUUAGUGUGAUGGUUGGAAAGUUUUUUCGGUGUAGGAUGAGCUCGCGGCCUAUCAGCUUGUUGGUGGGGUAAUGGCCUACCAAGGCGGCGACGGGUAGCCGGCCUGAGAGGGUGGACGGCCACAUUGGGACUGAGAUACGGCCCAGACUCCUACGGGAGGCAGCAGUGGGGAAUAUUGCACAAUGGGCGCAAGCCUGAUGCAGCGACGCCGCGUGGGGGAUGACGGCCUUCGGGUUGUAAACUCCUUUCGCUAGGGACGAAGCUUUUUGGGACGGUACCUAGAUAAGAAGCACCGGCUAACUACGU